rfam:Picea glauca, whole genome shotgun sequence.
AUAAAGGUUUCUUUAGACACCACCUAUCUCUUCAAAAAAAUUAUU